AAGGGUAUAGCUCAAGUGGUAGAGCACAUGCUUAGCAUGCAGGAGGUCCUGGGUUCAAUUCCCAGUACCUCCU
rnacentral:tRNA from 1 species